UACGUAGGGUGCAAGCGUUAAUCGGAAUUACUGGGCGUAAAGCGUGCGCAGGCGGCUUUGCAAGACAGAUGUGAAAUCCCCGGGCUUAACCCUGGGAACUGCAUUUGUGACUGCAUGGCUGGAGUGCGGCAGAGGGGGAUGGAAUUCCGCGUGUAGCAGUGAAAUGCGUAGAUAUGCGGAGGAACACCGAUGGCGAAGGCAAUCCCCUGGACCUGUACUGACGCUCAUGCACGAAAGCGUGGGGAGCAAACAGG
rnacentral:rRNA from 1 species